GGUUCAGUGGUCUAGGGGUAUGAUUCUCGCUUAGGGUGCGAGAGGUCCCGGGUUCAAAUCCCGGCUGAACCC
rfam:Trichomalopsis sarcophagae strain Alberta scaffold706, whole genome shotgun sequence.